GCAGGUGUUACCCGCAACCAGGUCUGAAGAAUGAAGAGAGCCCUUUGGAAGAGCAGCAUCUUGGCAGCAUGUGGGGCAGGAGGUUUAGGAAAGCCACAAUGAAAUCCAAGCACCGAAGGAACCUACACAAAAGGAUACCUCAUCCUUCUGGAAACCUGUCAAAAACUAAUAAGACAAGGACCUUUCUUACUGGCUCAACACAGUCCAGUAUUUCCUGUGUGGGAAUGCAUACAGCCUAAACUAUGGAAGAAACAGAGAAAUUUGUCGAUACUCAGAAAAAGGUAAGGUUUUAUGUCUUAGAAAGUUACAUUUUGCCAUGUGAUAUGAACAGGGAAAAGAGAAGAAAACAGCAAUAUAUCAGAUCUGAAUUUCUUUAUCAGUCAUCAUACCUGAGAAUUAUUUGAUAAUACUACUCCAAGCAUUCAGCAUCCUCAAAUUGAUGUCAACCCUUUCUUAGCACCAUUUUUAGUUCCUUCUUUUUCCUUCCUAGGAAGUUAAGCCAAAAGAGAGUGAUAAGACCUCUUGUUUUUCAUUAUCAAGAAACUUAUUUAAGACAUAUUUCUGGCUUUGUUUCCAACUUAUUUUUAAAUUUAGUUGAUCAGGAAAGGGGACAGCAUAUGAAAAGAGCGUUAGCAUUUUCUAAGCUAUGACAUUUUGCACUGUAUAACUUGAAAGGUUGACAGGGCCACUACACUGCUGAGAAUAUGUUUUUUAUUUUUAUUUAUUUAUUUAUUUAUUUUUAAAUUAAGAGCUGCACCAAGGCCAUUCUCAAACAGAUACACUGUCCCAAAAUCAAGGCAGAUAGAAGAAGAGCCUUUGUUGAGGCUGAUCUCCAGACAUGAGGAAUGUCUGAAGAACAAGGAUUUGCAGUUUGAGGUCAUGGAAAAUAGGAGGCUUAUUUUGUUCUCUUCCAUCCAUCUCAUCAGCAGAAAGCCCUUACCACUAGGAAGGGAAAACAAACCUGAACAUGCCAGAGAUUUUACACCUUUUCAAAUGAAUGAGGCAAAAAAACAUUUAUUCCUCUUCUGUAGUGGUCUGCCUUGCUGACUCAGUGUUGUCCUAAUUGUUGUGUUUCCUUGAUAUCAUUCUGUAAGUUUCUUUUGGUGCACAUUUCCUCACAGAAAGCAGCUAUUUGAUUCUUCUGCAGGCGUAAGCACCACAGUUCCCAUGCCAGCUAUUUCUUACUACCCGAGGAUGUGAUUCAGCACUGUACAGAGAGCAUCCAUUUUCCUUGUACUUGGCUCCCAGGCUUUCUCCAUUUCUUUUGUUUUGGGGCAGGUGAGAGAUCAUGCCUUAGGUUACUGGUUAAUAUUUGAAGUUGUACUAAAGUGCGUUGUGGCCUGGCCCCCCACACCAUGAACUGAAAAAAAUGUGUAUUCCAUUUCUGGAUGGCUGUUCUCCAGUGAGUUUUCUCAGCAUAAUUCUUUCCAGAUUAAAGUAAUGAUUUGCUAGAAUGAUUAAAAGUAAGGGGAGUGGUGAAGUGUUCAGUAGUUUUCCAAGUUGACAUUCUGUGUUUCUUUUUAUCUCUAAGCAUGAAAUCUGUUUUCUUUCUGUAUAUUGACUGACAUAUUGGUUCAUAGGUUUGUAAUAUGGCUUAUUUCAUGUAUUCAAAAGGCUAAGCAAAAGUCUUUUAAAGUGCAGCCAUAUCCUCAUAUUAGCAAUAAAUAAAUAAAUAAAUAAAUAAAUAAAUAAAUAAUCUUUAGUUCUCCUGGAUUCUGUCUAAUCUAUUGUCACAUAGCAUUUUUUUUUCUGACAUCUGAUAAAUAGUUUUC